UUCUACUAGGGGCGCCUUUUGGCUGAGACGUACCCUUUGAACCUGAUCUAGUUCGUACUAGCGUAGGGAAGUAGGUAU
rnacentral:ncRNA from 1 species